AACGAACGCUGGCGGCAUGCCUAACACAUGCAAGUCGAACGAAGCCUUCGGGCUUAGUGGCGCACGGGUGCGUAACACGUGGGAAUCUGCCCUUCGGUUCGGAAUAACAGUUAGAAAUGACUGCUAAUACCGGAUGAUGACGAAAGUCCAAAGAUUUAUCGCCGAAGGAUGAGCCCGCGUAGGAUUAGGUAGUUGGUAGGGUAAUGGCCUACCAAGCCGACGAUCCUUAGCUGGUCUGAGAGGAUGAUCAGCCACACUGGGACUGAGACACGGCCCAGACUCCUACGGGAGGCAGCAGUGGGGAAUAUUGGACAAUGGGCGAAAGCCUGAUCCAGCAAUGCCGCGUGAGUGAUGAAGGCCUUAGGGUUGUAAAGCUCUUUUACCAGGGAUGAUAAUGACAGUACCUGGAGAAUAAGCUCCGGCUAACUCCGUGCCAG
rnacentral:rRNA from 1 species